rnacentral:rRNA from 1 species
CCUACGGGAGGCAGCAGUGGGGAAUAUUGCACAAUGGGGGAAACCCUGAUGCAGCGACGCCGCGUGAGUGAAGAAGUAUCUCGGUACGUAAAGCUCUAUCAGCAGGGAAGAAAAUGACGGUACCUGACUAAGAAGCCCCGGCUAACUACGUGCCAGCAGCCGCGGUAAUACGUAGGGGGCAAGCGUUAUCCUGAUUUACUGGGGGGAAAGGGAGCGUAGACGGCAGUACAAGUCUGGAGUGAAAUCCCGGGGCUUAACCCCGGAAGUGCUUUGGAAACUGUGCGGCUGGAGUGCAGGAGGGGUAAGCGGAAUUCCUAGUGUAGCGGUGAAAUGCGGAGAUAUUAGGAGGAACACCGGUGGCGAAGGCGGCUUACUGGACUGUAACUGACGUUGAGGCUCGAAAGCGUGGGGAGCAAACAGGAUUAGAUACCCCAGUAGUC